rnacentral:rRNA from 1 species
GAUGAACGCUGGCGGCGUGCCUAAUUCAUGCAAGUCGAGCGAACAGAUGAGGAGCUUGCUCCUCUGACGUUAGCGGCGGACGGGUGAGUAACACGUGGAUAACCUACCUAUAAGACUGGGAUAACUUCGGGAAACCGGAGCUAAUACCGGAUAAUAUAUUGAACCGCAUGGUUCAAUAGUGAAAGACGGGUUUGCUGUCACCUAUAGAUGGAUUCGCGCCGCAUUAGCUAGUUGGUAAGGUAACGGCUUACCAAGGCAACGAUGCGUAGCCGACCUGAGAGGGUGAUCGGCCACACUGGAACUGAGACACGGUCCAGACUCCUACGGGAGGCAGCAGUAGGGAAUCUUCCGCAAUGGGCGAAAGCCUGACGGAGCAACGCCGCGUGAGUGAUGAAGGUCUUCGGAUCGUAAAACUCUGUUAUUAGGGAAGAACAAAUGUGUAAGUACCUAUGCACGUCUUGACGGUACCUAAUCAGAAAGCCACGGCUAACUACGUG